CGCGCCCUGCCCCUGCAGCCCCGGCCGCAGCGAGCGGCCCUCGGCCGCCGCCCGCCUGGUGGCCGCCCGCCUGCGCCGCCUGGCCGAUGGGCUGCAGCAGCGGGCCGAGCGCCGCAAGGCGCGGGGCAGGGGCCCCUCGGCCGCCCGCCGCCGCCUGGCCGCCGUCGUGUGCCUGCUGUGCGCCCUGCCGCCCGCCGCCGCGCUGGCCUGGCUGAUCCGCAGGAGGAGCCUCUGAGACAGGGGAGCGGGGCCCCCGCUGGACGGAGCGGGGGAGCAGGCGGGAUGAGCAGCAGGGAAUCCAGAGCCUGAGCAGCAGCUGUGAAGAGUGGAGAUAAAGAAAGAAGUGGAAGGUGUUGGAAGUGCUUUGGGCAACGUGAAGAAGGAUUUGCACUGAAGGAGCUGUUCAAGGGCCCAGCAGCAAAACAGAGACACAUACAUGCUUAUAUAUAGAAGAAUGUAAACCCUCCUGUAUGCAUACGUUAAAAUGUGCAUGCCUUGUUGAGAACGUAAGCAACAUUCCUUGUAGAUGAUGGUGGUCUGAGCAUUCGUGCUCCUGCAGUCUGAGUCAAAAGAUUAGUGAUAUCCUUGCUGUAAUGCUAGCAUUUUCUCCACUGCACCUUGUUUGUGGUGACAUAAAUGUCCCUUUCAAUGCAGCAGGAUGAAAAAUUAUCUGUACAUCCAGAGUUAAAUAAUACCUUGACCAAACUUGCUGCAAAGUGGGCAUGUUCUAGCCUUGGUGGCGGAGGAAGAGGUGCUUAGCAGCUUGGACAACAGACAGUCUGUGUGUGUAUAUAUUAAGCGCUAUAGCACCAGGUGAGAUAAGCUUUUCUUAAGACUUUUGUUUCUCUGGUGCUACAUUUACUAUUUGUCUGGGGCUAAACUGCCUCUUUGUGGUGCUACAGUUUCCCCAAGAGGAUGUUCUGAAACAUGGGACAAGGAGAAAUCUAUUUUGGUUAUUGAUAUUUAUACACAAAAUAGCAAAAAAUAAUACUUGUUCAAGAAGGUGCUAUUUUUUUUUCUUUCUUUCAACCUCUGCAUAAAUUAAAACAGAAAAGUAAUCUAGCCCAGAAGUUUAUAAAACUAAUUUUCUUUGGGGCAGUUCUUUUUCUUUUGCCAGUUUUAAGCUUGGGAAGCAGCAUUCGCUGAGGUGGCAAAGACACAGAAGCUCCUUUCACUGCAGUGUACAUGUCAGAUCUGCUAAUGCAGAAUCUUCUACAACUCUGGAGCUGGGUGUUCUCCUGGAUGGUGACUGAAGUGGUCUCAAAUCCUGUUAACCCGGAUUUGAAGAAAAGACUUAUAGAAAAAAACUGUAUCUAGACUAAUCAAGAGACUAGAGGAUAAUAGGAGAACUUGUCCUUAGAAGUCGAGAGGCUUUUCCCAGCCUAGUACUGAGCACUUUUUUGCAGCCAAAACUACCUGUCAGAUUCAGGAUACCUUCCAGAAGGUAAUUCUUAGGCACAUUUUUUAGAAACAUUUUUCCUGGCUUCAGAUAUUUGCAGCACAAAAUUAACCUUCACAUGGCAGGGGUGAACUUUCAAAGGCAUAAAGGGAUGUCAAGAUUCCAGUUUCCAAAGUUUGGUUCCUUGUCUUUUAAAAAUACUUUCUAACCCCUGCCCAAUCAAGGAACAAACCGAGCAGAUGCUAUGUCCCAGUCAAACGUUGCAUUUUUCACUACCGCAGGAGAAAUGUUUCUAAGCAAUCUAAAAGCUAAAUUCUCUCUUUAUCAAAUAUUCACCAAUGUGUUUUGGGCACCUGCACACAUAUUCAUGGGAAUUAUUGAUCCAAGUCAAUUCACAAACAGCAGAAAGGGCUACACUGAAAGAGCAAAUUGUUGCUAAUGAAUAACCUUGCCCUACUUUAUCUUAUGUGCAGUGGUGGGAGGGAUCAUGUAGCUAAGUGUAUUUUGUCUAUUGAUAGAGUUUGGAUGGCCUCAGAACCACAGGGACUACAUCCACCGGUAAAACAUUUUUCUACCAUUUUUGGCCUGAUGCUCACUAAUACUAGGCAUCCUGUAUUCCUUCCUGGCUCAGUCUCUGAUCAAAACAAAAAUUCUUCUAGCAAAUGGAGGAGCCUCGGCUGAUUUCAGCAGGGUUGCAAGUGCUUGAUUAGUGACUGCUGGAUCAGGCAUAGUCUU